GUGAUUGUAUCAUGUAUCACGUAGUCAGACAAGCUGCUAAUGCAAGCCGCACUUUUUCUAACCAGAAAAACGCACCUCCCCAUUUCUAUUUCAACUCACACGUUCAAGUUCUCUGGCCGAUAAAUCCACAUCUCCAAACCCUUCUAACGCCAAAAAACGAUACCCAUCAGAGCCCCGAAGAUCCACUUCAAUGUCUACUCAUGUUGAGAGGAACAGAAGAACUGAUAUCGAGCUAUAUUCCAGCAAAAACAAAAGUCUCUUCAAGGCCUUGCUUAGCAUGCGGAAGUCAAGAAAGGACAGCAAGUUGUACAAGUUCCUGGACGAGAACUAAGAAGAACAGGGGAUAAAGGAAACCGGAUAGACCCAUAUAUGAGUUUCUGUGCAUCGAAAGUGUACCUGAAUAUAUUGAAGAUCACUGUAAAUACAUUGAUUAUGCCGUAUAACUAAAAACGUUUCCGAUCAGACAGCUGCAAAUGAAUUUGGCACCAGAACGCUUCACAUAAAAACAGGAGCUCGACUGUACAGAUUUCAUGUGUGACAGGCACAAAAAUUCUUGCGCACUCCAUCCAGAUGCUUGACAGUAGCAAUAUUGUUGAUUGAGCAAUGGAUAUGGUUCAAAAUCCUAGAUCAAAACUGGGACACUCAGCCUUCACUAUCAAUGGAUCUCUAUCUCCUUCAAGGUCCAUUCUUUUAUCACUAGCAUCGCUGUGAGAACCGUGUGAAAGCGAUGCUUCAGAAACAAGAUUGUCACUGCAGCACUUGGGAUCAGCUUGCCCAUGAGAAGGCUGCAAACGUUAAUUGCAGCAGAUGUACAUGCUAGUCAUACAAAACUCAGUGAAAUUGAGAAUGUCCUCAAGGUAAAUAAAGAACUAGAUUUUGGACUGGGAUGCAUUAGAGAAUUCAAGCAAGUCCUCAUGCAUCUAGUUUGAACAUUCCCUGCAAGCAGUUGCUACCUGCUGCUAAUUUAAUUCAGUUUGGCCAGUAGUUUGGACGAAAGAGUUACAUCAAACAACAAAACUCAUUAAGUUCUGAUGGAAUUUCCUGAUGCUGAGAGUCACAAUCUUGCCACAGACGGGUCAAAAUAGAGCUGAAAGAAUCGAUUACUGAAAAUAGAGCAGGACAAGUAGCUGUGAAAUACCUGCGAGUUGGCAAUUGCAAAGUCCCCCAUCAAGUAAGAUUCAUUGAAUUCAGAGGCUAAUUCUGAUGAUAUUUUACAAUGUCAGAUGACGAAACAUAUAUUGCAACAAAGCUAACACUAGAAAUAAAAGAAUGCUGAAGUGAGUGAGAUUGCACUAAACCAACCUUUAGACUUCAUUAGACCAGGUAACUUUUCAUUGUUGGUAGUAUCAGUCAGAUUUCCAGUGUCCACAUUCUCCACUGAAGCCAGCUCAGCAGCUGGCGCUCUUUGUCUUUGAGCUCCAUCACAAAACUUCUCUGGAUCCUGAAGCUCCUUCGUUAGGGAAGCAAAACUUGCCUUCCUUUCAUAUGAAUUUUCAGCAAUGGCAACUUGAUCUAA